AUACCUUUCUCGGCCUUUUGGCUAAGAUCAAGUGUAGUAUCUGUUCUUAUCAGUUUAAUAUCUGAUAUGUGAACCAAUGGUUCACACGAUAUUAAAUUUAUUUUUUAAGGGAGAGGGUCAAAUGCAGUGGCUUGCUACUGUGGCUCUCAAGCAUUGGCUUUGCUUUGCACUACUGCAGGGCUGGGUGCAUCCCUC
rnacentral:snRNA from 2 species